rnacentral:rRNA from 1 species
UGGGGAAUUUUGCACAAUGGGGGAAACCCUGAUGCAGCGACGCCGCGUGAUUUAGAAGGCCUUCGGGUUGUAAAAAUCUUUUGUAUAGGAAGAAAAUGACAGUACUAUACGAAUAAGGUCCGGCUAAUUACGUGCCAGCAGCCGCGGUAAUACGUAAGGACCGAGCGUUGUCCGGAAUCAUUGGGCGUAAAGGGUACGUAGGCGGGUCAUUAAGUUAGAAGUCAAAGGCUAUAGCUCAACUAUAGUAAGCUUCUAAAACUGGAGACCUUGAGUAAUGGGAGGGAAAGUGGAAUUCCUAGUGUAGCGGUGGAAUGCGCAGAUAUUAGGAGGAAUACCGGUGGCGAAGGCGACUUUCUGGCCAUUAACUGACGCUGAGGUACGAAAGCGUGGGUAGCAAACAGGAUUAGAUACCCUGGUAGUCCACGCCGUAAACGAUGAGUGUUAGGUGUCUGGAGUAAAUCUGGGUGCCGCAGCUAACGCAUUAAACACUCCGCCUGGGGAGUACGCACGCAAGUGUG